rnacentral:rRNA from 1 species
CACGCUACGAUACCCGGAAACCCUACGCUUGUCGGUUAAAAAGUCGCGCUUACCGGCCGGGUUGGGCGCUUGAAAAGAGGGUUUUAGUUGUCUGUCAGUGUGGCGCGUGUGUAGUCGGUUUAGGGAUCGAAAGGAAGCAUGCGUAAGUAAGGGGUGCGGCCAGUUAGAGGCGCGGCGGCGGAGGUGUGGCCGGCUAGAGGCGCAACGGCGGAGGUGCGGCCAGCUAGAGGUGCGGAGGCGGGGGGUGCGGCCAGCUAGGCGUGCGGAGGGUGGCGGCGGGCUGCGGCUGGCCCCGAAGGAGGUUAGCUAGGGGUGGGGCAGGGUGGCGGCGGGUUGCGGUAGCUAGAACGGGGAGGCCGGCACCACUUCGUGAGGGGCCUCCGCGACGACGAGCACCACAGGUUGGGGCAGCUGCAGGAGUGGAUGGAGCGGAACUUCGAAGGUCCCAACACAAGCUCCACUCGCCGCAGUAGACGAGGCCAUGGUUGGAGCUACAGAGGUCCUAUACCAAGGAGUAGUUGCUCGGGAGGAGGUAAGUUGCGCGUCCUGCACGUCCUAAGGGUCGGGUGGGGUCGUAGGGGAAGUUGGGGCUUGGCCAAAUGACAACGCGGAGACGUUGGAAUGUCCGGCGGCGUCAGCUACGUCGUCGAUCGUCGUCCCGGGUAACAGCAUGAGCGCGUAGGGUCCAAGUAGACGAACGACGACAAAGCCGGUAGUGACCCAGGUAUCAAUGACAUGUGGAAGAUGAGUUAUAAACUGUCUCAUUGUUUUCUACCAACUAUUUAUACAACGAGACUUGGAACCGAAUAAUUAACCGCCUCGAAACUGUCCCGCUUGGACCCGUGGGGUCCAGUAAAUGAAUCUUCUACUCGUGAGGUGGUCCGACAAACAUCAUUUGUUGAAACCGCUACGAGUGCUGUCCGUCACUGCGAUACACUACCACAGCUCGCAACCCAUCCUUUCGUCUUGUAGUAGUUGAGACGGAGUGGAGAAGGUGAUCACAACAGGCUACACAAGUUCGACCUCCUACAAGACGUUACUCUACAUCUUACUUCCGAAACUACAGUUCAUGCUCUUGCUACGUUCCUACAACCACCUUCCGACACUCCUACCCAUACAUCAACGGGUGAUGUUCCUCGGUUCCGUCUACUACACGGAGAAUCUUUUUAAGGUCAUUUGUUGUGAUCCUUAAAAACGAGAGUCUGUUACUUGGUAUUACAGAGGAGAUAAAGUAAUCAAUGUAGUCAAAUAUCCUUUGAACCUACCGGUAACCAAGUAUUGUAUACGUGAUAAAUAUACAUUUUUAAUCACUUACACACAAUAUUAACAAACCAAGACUAUAUAAUAAGAACCAGCUGUACUUACAAUGACAACACUUAAUACAUUGAACUAACUACAAGACUACCAUUUCACUUUACAUCGAUACACUCC